CAGCGGAAGUUUCCUGAGGAUAAUUUCACUGAUUUUGUCUGCAGACGCAUACCAGUUUCAGAGGAUUUGGAUCAGUGGAGGGUGGAACGCAAAACUGUUCCCCUGUGCAUCAGCGGUUACCUCCUUGACCACAAACUGUGAGUAGCCAUUUAUUUGGAAUAUUUACAUUACCUAUUAUGUUACCCAUUCAUCACC